CAAAAUUAAGAUAAUAAAUGUUUCAAUUCAUAAUGUUAAUGUAAAAAAAAAAGUAAGUAUAAAAAGUACAUAUUUACAUAUUCACUUAACACUUUACAAUAAUGUCCCAUUAGGUAAUGUUGGUUACAAAUAUUUCAUACAGAAAAGCAAUGCAUAAACAUACAAAUGAAUGGUCAUUGGAAAAAAAAAUAUAUCACAUUUUUAAUACAAAAAACAAGUUUUGAAAAAUGGACACUUGUUUAAGGCAGACCAUUCCAAAGAGAUGGGAUGAUUUCACAUAUAUUAGUUAAUAAAGUCUUCACUUUCUUUAUCUUCUCUUAACACCAGCUUUAUUUCAGAGGGAGGUUAGAGGGGUUUCCUCCUGAGACCGGAGAGGAACAGAUUGUGGAAUUACUAUUGGGCUACAGGAGUACUGGACCUACAGGCUUCUGGCACAUGAAGAGUCACUGGAGCAUAUGUCGCCAGCACGAUUCAUUCAUUUAAAUUUAUGGAGUGGAAGUGGGCCAGGUAGCGCACCACAGUGACUGUCAACAGCACCUCCAUCUUCACAAACUUCACGUACACCGGUCCCAUCAUCCUACCAUAUGUCCCGCGAAACACAAUUUCUAAUGGACAAGGACAGCUGUAUCAGGUAAUCAAGUGGGACCUUUCACUGCAAACCAAUCAGUCUCAGUGAGCCCUAUUUGAGCAGCAUUAGCCAUCCUUCCCCUGAGCAUUACAUCAUUCUGAGGGACAACCGAGCCAAUCAACAGCCUGGCAGGAUUACACAGCAUAUGGGCAUGUCCUGACUGUGUUGGAGAACUAAACAGGUGCCGGGAUUUGUAUGAGUGUAUGUCUGUGAGGUCAGUUGCAGUUAAUGUUGGGCUCGGUUUGGGGCUAAAUCACUUUGAAACAUUCCGAUCAUUGGAAGAAGUCUUGCUGAAGAACCUGAAGUCUCCUUUUCUGCCCCUUGGCCAACACACCAAAACAGCAAUCUUGUACUUUAUUUAUAAUUGUGUAUUAUAAUACUUUACCUAAG
ensembl:lncRNA